rnacentral:rRNA from 1 species
CCUACGGGGGGCAGCAGUGGGGAAUAUUGCACAAUGGGGGAAACCCUGAUGCAGCGACGCCGCGUGAGUGAAGAAGUAAUUCGUUACGUAAAGCCCUAUCAGCAGGGAAGAAACACUGACCUUACGGUCAGCAGACGGUACCUGAGUAAGAAGCCCAGGCUAACUACGUGCCAGCAGCCGCGGGAAAACGUAGGGGGCAAGCGUGAUCCGGAUUUACUGGGUGUAAAGGGAGCGUAGACGGUGCGGCAAGUCUGGAGUGAAAUGCCGCGGCUUAACUGCGGAACUGCUUUGGAAACUGGCGAACUAGAGUGGGGGAGGGGUAAGCGGAAUGCCUGGUGUAGCGGUGAAAUGCGUAGAUAUUAGGAGGAACACCGGUGGCGAAGGCGGCUUACUGGACCGUAACUGACGUUGAGGCUCGAAAGCGUGGGGAGCAAACAGGAUUAGAUACCCGGGUAGUC